rnacentral:lncRNA from 1 species
UUCUUCACAGCCUGUCUGAUCUGGUGCUUGUUGGCUUUAACAUCCACAGUGAACACAAGCGUGUUGUUUUCUUCUAUCUUCUUCACGGCCGACUCAGUGGUCAGCGGAAACUUGAUGAUAGCAUAGUGGCCAAGCUUGUUUCUCCUGGGGGUGCUCUUCUGAGGCUAUCUGGGCUGCCUCCGGAGUCACAGUGUCUUGGGCCGCCUGAAGGUAUUAUUUCCCCCUGAUGCUUUCCUGAAAGCUCCUGCAAUCAACUACAGGUCAGAAUGUUCGUCUCCAAGACAGGACUCCCUCUGAGACUCACAGAAAAGACUAUGACAGGUACUCUGGUUAUAGGCUUCUGAUGAUAUUGCUUAAAUAACUUUAAGACCAUACACUUGACUCAGUUAAGGUCUCCAGAAGUCCGGUUGGGAACCUGAUGGGUUCAUGACACUGCUAACUCAAGAUCCACAAGACUGGAAUUGAUUACAUGGCACUGAAUGAACUGAUGAAAAUUGAUUAUAAUUGUAUAGCUUUUUGGAGCAUUGCUGGUUAAUAUUCUAGUUUCUGGAUUUAAGAAAUCUCUUUCUCUUACUCUAACUGUAACUUACAACAAUUUAGUAGAUUAUACUUUUGUAAACAGAAAUGAAGCGUUUAUCUUUUUUUCUUGCCUGAUUUUUCCAGAAUUUUGAAAUCCUUACUGAAUACUCUUAUUUCCACGAUGAUAUAGUUGUUAGCAAAAGUCCAAUAAGAAUCUAUUCACCUUAUAACAGGACAUAAUUGGAAAUUUUGGUUAUAUUAUCAAGGUUUUUACUGGAAUAUCAUAUUUAGGAAGUGUACCUAAGAUCAGUUAUGACCAGCAAUUUUAAGGAAGUAAGGUUGACUUUUAUGGAGACAAUGCUUACAAAGCACUGUGGAAAACUUUGAGGAAAGUUCUUCCUCAAAGAUUAUAAAGUCACAACUACCCACUAUUUUUAUAUGUAUGUGUGUGUGUGUGUGUGUGUGUGUGUGUGUGUGUGUUCCAAAUCACUUGUCCUAGCUUGCUCCAGCAUGCCUGGACAGAACUAGACAAGCCCCAGCCCAUAGUGCAUGCCAUUCCUUAUUUGGAGAUGCUUCCUUAACUAUCCCUGGGCAACUUCCUUUUCUUUCUUUCUUCUAUUCCCCUUACCUAAUUAAGAAAGUUUUAAACUAACAGCCAAUCGGGUAAAGUGUAAAAUGGGAGGUCCUAUUCCAGCCAAUGGAAACUGGACACAGCAGUAGGGUAAACACGUCAGGUUAUAAGUAACUCUGUCUCCUUUGUUUGGUGUGCUCUUGUAGCUGGACAGCUAUUGAGUAGCACCCUUUGUGCAGAAAAAUAAAGC